rnacentral:rRNA from 1 species
UACGGAGGGUGCAAGCGUUAUCCGGAUUCACUGGGGUUAAAGGGUGCGUAGGCGGGCAGGUAAGUCAGUGGUGAAAUCUUCGAGCUUAACUCGGAAACUGCCGUUGAUACUAUCUGUCUUGAAUACCCGGGAGGUGAGCGGAAUAUGUCAUGUAGCGGUGAAAUGCUUAGAUAUGACAUAGAACACCAAUUGCGAAGGCAGCUCACUACAGGGUCAUUGACGCUGAGGCACGAAAGCGUGGGGAUCAAACAGG